rnacentral:rRNA from 1 species
AGCGAACGUUAGCGGCGCGCCUAACACAUGCAAGUCGCACGAGAAAGGGAGCAAUCCCCGGUACAGUGGCGCACGGGUGAGUAACACGUAGAUGACCUUCCCUGGAGUGGUGGAUAACCUGCCGAAAGGCGGGCUAAUACAGCAUGGGACCACAUGGUUUUGACCGAGUGGUGAAAGCGGGCCUCUGUUCACAAGCUCGCGCUCUGGGAUGGGUCUGCGUCCCAUCAGCUAGUUGGUGAGGUAAUGGCUCACCAAGGCAUCGACGGGUAGCUGGUCUGAGAGGAUGACCAGCCACACUGGAACUGAGACACGGUCCAGACUCCUACGGGAGGCAGCAGGUGGGGAAUCUUGCGCAAUGGGCGAAAGCCUGACGCAGCGACGCCGCGUGGGUGAUGAAGGCCUUC